rnacentral:pre_miRNA from 1 species
UCUCUACUCCCUCCGUCCGAAAAUACUUGUCAUCAAAAUGGAUAAAAAUAGAUGUAUCUAAAACUAAAAUACGUCUAGAUACAUUUCCUUUUAUCCAUUUUGAUGACAAGUAUUUCCGGACGGAGGGAGUAUUUG